AAAAAAUCUCAUUUCUCACUUUAGAUAUAUUAAUUUUGUUCCCAGAUCCUUCCAUCAGUUACAGCAUAUGGUUCCUGGAUCCUGUCUGGAGCCUGAUCACAGGAAACAUCUGCUUCGGGCACAUUUCCCUUCCGAUCCCUGGUGGACAGCGUGACAAAGGAAUCAUUUCAGUUUCCAGCAGUAUCUACAUCAUUUGUCACCAAACCACCUUCGCUGCCCCUCACGGCUCCUUCUGCCUCACCCUCCCUGACCUGAAGGUCUUCAUAUAUUUGUAAAUAACUGUUUUUGUCUUCACAGCUCUUGCAAUCCUCUUUAUUUUAAAAUAAAGUUUAUUUUGAGACUGGGCCA
rnacentral:lncRNA from 1 species